rnacentral:lncRNA from 1 species
UCUAAGGACAUAGUUUGUAUUCUUGAUCAACUUAUUAAUGAAAUAAAAUUUAAAUUAUUUAUCUAUUCAUAUUGUGUAAUGUGUCUAUGAAUCAUUCAAUAAAUUAACAAGAUGGUGACACAUAUUCUCAAGAAUUAAAAAUUUGAGGUAUGUAUCAUUGAUGGUUAAUUCAUAAAUUGCUCCCAACCAUAGAAUCAUCAUGGGGACGAUGAUUGAUCCAGAUAGGUUGGUGCAUAGAUCACUUCUUUAUGGAUAGAUGAGUCUUCAAUCUAUAGUGUGGGGAUAUUGAGCGAGAGUGCAAGUGCUUGU